GCCUCCUGAAGAGAACUCACUUUCUUGUACCAUCUGAUAUUUGCCCUUUCCAAUUCCCUAUUUCCCUGCUAUAUUUUUCCCGACACUUCUGCUAUUUUCUCAUGAUGUUUUCAUGAGAAAACUUUUUUUUUUUUUUUUUGACAACAUUAAAGUUCUUUUUCACGUCAAGGAUCAACAGAGUUCCCAGGUAUCACUCCUGCUAAAAAUAGGGACAAACUGAUGCUAUGGAAGUGUUGUUAUUUUUUGUAGUCAGCGUGGAUCCAAUUGGGAAGAUUUCUUCAGCUUUGAAGUUCCAGAGUGACUCAUGAGUUUAAAGCCAUUCCCCCUUGUCCUGUCACUAUCAGAAUAUGAAAAAAGUUGUUUUCCCUCCUGCCUGUGAGCUCCCUUCAAGUAUUAGAAGGCCACAGUGAGUGUUAAGAUAACAGACAACUCAAAGGACAGGAGGAAUAAACCUGAACAGACAGGACAAGAUGUACAGACUUUUCUGUUAGAAAACCUAGAAGUAUCAGAAGGCAUUGCUUAAGCAGAGCAGAUUUGCAUUAGUUCAUUUGUGGAUCAGGAAGCGCCACUGAAAAGUUUUCUCCAUUAAAAUAAAGUGCUGAAAGACUAAUCUGAAGACUAGAUGACAAGUACUCAAGAAUGAAAGUAAUACAGUGAAAGUAGGAAGCAAACUACAUAGAGAAAUUAAUUGGAAUAAAAUGCAGCACUUCUUUUCUUACAUCACUGCCUCUGUGGGGCUGCUGACACCACUAGACUGGAAGGAUUCUGCUCAGUCACUGAAGCCAACUAAUGGGAUUCUGCCUGCUGAAAUGAAGCAGAACAUCACUACCAACAGACAGACCGAAGAAGAUGAAAGCUUGCAAAGAAAACUUAUUGCCUCUGGAGGAAAUGCAGCAGCUCAAUUGCAGUAAUCUUCCUUGGUUUUGAAGCACACCCAGGCUGUGCUAUAUCUUCACAUCUUCAGGAUGGAAGCUGCUGCCCAUGGUACUGUGCAGAGGAAUCACAGGAGACUACAGUGCUCCACCUCUGCAGGAAGCAGGCAGCAGUUUCCAAAAGCCAUAAUGUCCUACAACACAGAAAGGUGAGAAGCACACGGUCCCAGCCCCCUCCUUCCCCAACCCCCUCCCCUCCUACCACACACACAGCUGGAGAACAUGCGGUGAAUGGGCUCACAUCUAGCAGAAAACUCCAUGUUUGUGAUUACACCAGUGCUUUGAGCCGGCAGCAGUGAAGAGUGCUGAAGAGCAAGAGUGCCAUAAUUAAGGAUGAGAGCAGAAACCCACAGCUUAAGGUUGGGCUUGACUCACAGAGGUAAUGGAAAGGGGUUUUACUUUUAUUAUAAUAGAAAAGGCAGGUCGUGCUUGACUAACCUCAUCUCCUUCAACAACUGGGUGGCCAGACUGGUAGAUGAGGAAAAGCUGUUGAUGUAGUCUAUCUAGACUCCAGCAAAGCCUUUGACAUGGUCUCUCACAGUAUUCUCCUGGGGAAACUGGUUGCCCAUGGCCUGGACAGUAUACCCUUCUUUGGGUAAGGAACUGGCUAGAAGACCAUGCCAAAUGGGUAGUAGAUAAUAGAGUUGAGAACAACUGGAGACCCAUUACAAGUGGCGUCUCCCAGGGGUCAGUACUGGGGCCCAUCUUGUUUAAUAUCUUUACUGAUGACCUAGAUGAGGGGAUUGAGUGUACCCUGAGUAAGUUUGCAGAUGACACCAAGCUGGGAGGUAGCAUUGAUCAGCCUGAGGGUUGGGAGGCCCUGCAGAGGAAUCUAGAUAAGAUGGAUUGCUGGGCUCAGGUGAAUGAGAUGAAGUUCAACAAGGCCAAGUGCCAGGUUCUGCACUUUAGCCACAAUAACCCCAUGCAGCACUAUAGGCUUGGGGCAGAGCGGCUGUAUAACUGUGAAGAGGAAAGGGACCUGGGGGUUUUGGUUGAUGCUCAGCUGAACAUAAGCUGAGAGCAUGCCCAGGUGGCCAAAACAGCCAAUACCAUCCCCGCCUGCAUUAGAAAUAGUUGGCCAGAAGGAGCAGGGAAGAAAUCAUCCCCCUGUACUCAGCACUGAUGAGGCCACACCUCGAGUACUGUGUUCAGUUUUGUGCCUCUCACUACAAGAAAAACAUUGAGGCCCUGGAAUGUGUCCAGGGAAGGGCAACAAAACUAGUGAGAUGUCUGGAGCACAAGUCUUAUGAGGAGCAGAUGAGGAAGCUGGGAUUGUUUAGUCUGGAGAAGAAGAGGCUCAGGGGAGAUCUCACUGUGCUCGACUACUUCCUGAAGGGAGGUUGUGAUGAGGAUGACUUCCUGAAGGGAGGUUGUGAUGAGGAUGGGUUUGGCCUCUUCUCCCAGGCAACAAACAGGACCUGAGGAAAUGGCCUCAAGUUGUGCCAGAGAAGGUUUAGAUUAGACAUAAGGAAAAACUUUUUCCUCUCAGGGAGUGAUCAGGCACUGAUCAUGGCCUUCCCAGGGAGAUGGUGGAGUCGCUGUCCCUGGCAGUGUUCAAGAGGCAUCUGGAUGAAGAGCUAUGAGAUAUGGCUUAGUAGCUUGUGGUAUCAGUGGUGCAAGGAUGGUUGGACUAGAUGAUCUUGUAGGUCCUUUCUAAUCUUGUGAUUCUACGAUUAUAUGGAAAAAAAGCAAGUUUGUUUAAGGGAGAAAGAGUCAGAGGAAUGAAACAAGAAAAUCUGUUGACAUUCAAGCCAGUGUUCACAGUAGUGUAGAACACCAAGUACUCAUGUUAUGCCCAUUUCCUAUACAUUUUUUAUUACUUUUUGGUAGUUAAUAUAUGCACACAAUAAACAUCAGUGUUAAAAAUAGCUUAUGCCAAGAAAGGCAACAUGCUCAGAUUUACAGUGUUUUUGAAGUAUUGUUUUUAUAUUUAAUCACAUUGUACAUUAUUAAUAUUUUAUUCAUGUAUUCUCUUUGAUUCUUAUAUAUGUGCAUGUACAUACAUAUUCAUAUCCACACUACCCAAGUAUUCAUGUAUAUAAAUACAUACAACCAAAUGCAAGGGUGUGAAAGUGGAAAUAAACAAGACAGUACAACAAAGUUCUCACACUGCUACUUCCAUGACAGAUAAAGAAAUGCACAGAAUGAAUAAUCAAUAAAGUAAGUAGGAUGAGCUGAGUCCCACUACCUUCUGGACAAUGAGAAAGGAAUCCAUUAUACCCAGACAGGCCCUACUUAGUUCAGUUUUUUGGGCUCUUGAAACCUUCUUGUUACACCACUCAGGAAUUACUAAUGUAUUGUCUUAGCAAUUUACAUUUCUCUAUUAUAGUUCAUGUUACCUUCCUUUUUGACAAAUGCUACAUAAAAUAUUACUUUGCAAGAAGAGGGAGCAAUUAUUUUUAAUAAUGUUUUGGGAAAGUAGAAAGUACUAGAUUUCACUUGAAUACUUUUAGUUGCACAUUAGUGAAAUGAUACUCUUGCUUUAGGAAGAGUAUCAUUUCCUUCCAUUAGAGACUUGUAGACUGCCGGUUCCAGCAAAGCCCUGAAAAACCUCCACUGAAGUUGUAACAUUAGUAAUGGUAGCAAAAGAACAGCAUCUUAUUUGAUGAGUGAAAUUCUCCUUUUUUGGAGUACUGCAACAUUUGGGGUAUACGUGAUGGACAGUUCUGAUCCUUUGUGUGCAAUAAUACUAUAUGAUAUGCAUUUGUGAGGUUCUUGUCAGUAUAUCUGAUAAUUUUUUUGCAAUAUUCAUAUUUAUGAGUGAUAGUAUUUAUCACAGUGCUUUAUUUCCAACAAAAUGCUACUCAUUCAGACUACCACUUCUGAAAAAAAAAAAAUCAGAGGGAAUAUCACAGAUCAUUAAAAGGUUUGGAAUAAGACUCUCUAAAGAGAGCGUGUCUAUAAUGCAUUGGCCUAUUGUGUAGCUAGGUUUAUUUAUGUGGAUCUUUAUCUGCCUCAAAUAGAUCUAGACUGCUUCAGCCUUCAUCUAUAAGAAAAGUGCCACCCCUCAAGGAGAUAAAGUAGGGCAUCAAACCACAGCAAGCACUGCAGUGAGCUCUUGGUGAGCAGACAGGCACGGAAAGACUGAAGGCCUCCCAGACAAUUUCUAGCUAUAUCCAUUUCACCUGUAAGUCAAAAACAAAGUGUUUACUCUGAUUUAACAUAUCCACAAAAGAGCACUUGGGAAUUAUAUGUAUAUGUAUGUGUAUAUAUAUAUACAUAUAUACUCAUACACACACACACACCCCAAAACACAACCAUAAUUAGCCAUUCAUAAAUAGAGCACCCACAACAGCACUCUAUCUCAUAACAACAUCAAACAGAAAUCUUCUGAAAUGCUGAUGUAUUUAACCAACACAGUUUUCAUCUUAAUUGCAGCAUUAGCACAUACGGUGGCCUUCUGAACCACCUGCAAGCAGAAAAAUCAUGUGACAAAUACAUUCAUAGGAAAUCUUACCAAGAUUUUCAGUCUCAUUUUGCUGUAUCAGUAUAGUUGCAUGCAUAGGUGAACUUGUGUAACCUUUUUUCAAAACAGCUCCUAAAUUCUAAACCUUUUAAGUUUCAUGCAUCCUCUCCUAAUAUGCACAAUUUUGCUUUAUGCGUGAGAAAUGUGAUCUUUCUGCCUUUCCUUUUAUAAAGUAUAGCAAAGGUGGCCCACUCACUGUACAUUAUGAUUUUGUAUAAUUUUUCUUUAGUGUCUGUUGAUAUUAGCAGUCUUCUCACCUAUGGUGGAAAGAAACACACUUCCCAGCUACAUCCCAUGAUUAAUGGGUAGCUAAAGGAAUAAUUCUUGUUCAAGUGUCCAUAUUCUCUGUUCAUGUUCCAAUCUUCAGCACACAGACACUAGACUUUCUAAGCAAUGGCAAACAACCAUAUCUACUAAAAGAGCAUUUGUUGUAUUCAUGUUUCCCAUCCUGAAGCUAAACAAAGAUUGGAAACACAGCUUACAUAGCAUGAAGUAUAGCAUGUUAUUUAUAACAUGAAAGAGGAGCAAGAGAGCUGAAGACUUGCAGGACCCAGAAGAUGUCUUCCAAAGUGAAGAUCACUUGAAGUUUACAAAAAAACCUGCCUUUUAAAUAAAUCUGCUUAUAGAAAGCAAUUCACAGUUCAGAAUUAAGUUUGUGAGUCCAAGAGCAAUAAGUCAUGUCCAACACGAUUUAGCAGCAUCCAAAAAAAAAGUAUAUAAGGAAAGUGGAAAAAUUAUUCCAAGUCUCACCCUAAUCAGAGCAAAGUUCAUUCAGUAUGUGAUAGGCUUCUGUUGCUGCUUUGUAGUGCACAGGUAAAAUUCCAUGACCAAAUGAAGCCUAUGAACUGUACAAGUCUCCACUAGUCCUUAAAAUAGAGCGUAAGCAAACCCUAAGUAUCAUACGGUGUUUAAUUUCAUUCAGAGAGGGGGAAAUAAAAGGUAGGAUGAAUUGUACUGCUGAAAAGUUCCCUCUGUAAGCUCUCAUUUUCAGGCAUAAACAGAAACAUAUAAUUUCUAUUUAUUAUGCUGACUCAGGCAUUGUUCUAGGAAAUUUAAUUUAACUGCUGGGUAACUCCCAGUUAGUUGAGAAAGUUUAAUGCCAUGUUUGUUUAAAAAGGAAGAAUGCAAAGUUACACAUUUUCUGGGACAAAACAAUAGACCCAUCUUAGUUUGUUGCAAAAUUACGUUACAGUAACAUAAUAUAUUAUCUCUCAGUGAAAAAUAUCAUUCAAGACUAAAAAAAAUCUAAAUGCAAAAAGAAACAAAGUUUUCCAAGAAAUAAGGGAAAAGACACUCAAAAGAAAAGCAGCUAUGAAUUCUAGUUCUUGGUGGACUUUUUUUUAAUUUUCCCUCUUUUUAAUAAGAUAAUCAGAGAAAAAUCAAGAGUAGAACUGAACUACAUUUCUUCAGCUAGACCAUUAGUUAAUAUGGCUCUAGAAUGACAACAAUCUGGGGCAAAAGCACUAUUUCUAUGGUCCUUGCGAAAUCAGAUUUUAUGGACUGAACUCUAGUUUUGAUAGUCAGAAGCAUAUCAAUGUUAUUUAUAUUCUGUAAUAAUUUAAUGUUGUAUGUGUUGCUAUUUACAUUCUUUACAGUUUCUCAAGUAUUUUGAUUGUUAAUCAAUCAUUUUUAUCUAUGCUGGAUGCUCAUUAAAUGACUCAGUGGUCAAUGUCUGCAAAACAAGGAUUUUAAUUCAGUUUAUGUUUGAUCAUGGCAAAAAUCUUUUUUGUUCUUCAAGAAAUCAACACAAAAAUGACUAUGAUGACCUUUUGGUCUGUUCCAUACAGCAUCAUCUUGAUCUACAUUCACACUGGUGUUAAAGCAAUACCAAUAGUGUUUCCAUUAUUACUACCAAAGAG
ensembl:lncRNA